rnacentral:rRNA from 1 species
ACUGGUGAAGAAAGGGCCGGGCAAGACCGGUGCCAGCCGCCGCGGUAAUACCGGCGGCUCGAGUGGUGGCCGCUAUUACUGGGCUUAAAGGGUCCGUAGCUGGAUGUACAAGUCCCUUGAGAAAUCCGCCGGCUUAACUGGCGGGCGUUCAGGGGAAACUGUAUUUCUAGGGACCGGGAGAGGUGAGAGGUACUGCCGGGGUAGGAGUGAAAUCCUGUAAUCCCGGUGGGACCACCUAUGGCGAAGGCAUCUCACCAGAACGGGUCCGACAGUGAGGGACGAAAGCUGGGGGAGCAAACCGGAUUAGAUACCCGGGUAGUCCCAGCUGUAAACGAUGCGCGUUAGGUGUGUCAGUGACCACGUGUCACUGAGGUGCCGAAGGGAAACCGUGAAACGCGCCGCCUGGGGAGUACGGUCGCAAGGCUGAAACUUAAAGGAAUUGGCGGGGGAGCACCACAACGGGUGGAGCCUGCGGUUUAAUCGGACUCAACGCCGGGAAUCUCACCGGAUAAGACAGCUGAAUGAUAGUCGGGAUGAAGACUCUACUUGACUAGCUGAGAGGAGGUGCAUGGCCGUCGUCAGUUCGUACUGUGAAGCAUCCUGUUUAGUCAGGCAACGAGCGAGACCCACGCGAGCAGUUGCCAGCUUGACCUUCGGGUUGAUGGGGACACUGCUCGGACCGCCUCUGCUAAAGGGGAGGAAGGAAUGGGCAACGGUAGGUCAGCAUGCCCCGAAUUAUCCGGGCUACACGCGGGCUACAAUGGAUAGGACAAUGGGUUUCGACACCGAGAGGUGAGGAUAAUCUCCUAAACCUGUCCGAAGUUCGGAUUGCGGGUUGUAACUCACCCGCAUGAAGCUGGAAUCCGUAGUAAUCGCGUUUCAACAUAGCGCGGUGAAUAUGUCCCUGCUCCUUGCACACACCGCCCGUCAAACCACCCGAGUGAGGUCUUGAUGAGGAUGUGCCUUUGGCAUGUUCGAAUCUGGGUUUUGCAAGGGGGGUU